GGGAUUGUGGCUCAGUGGUAGAGUGCUUGCCUAGCAUGCAUGAGGCACUGGGUUUGACCCUCAGCACCA
rnacentral:tRNA from 1 species